rnacentral:rRNA from 1 species
GAUGAACGCUAGCGGCAGGCUUAACACAUGCAAGUCGAGGGGCAGCAUGAGACGGAGAUUCGUCGAAGUCUUGAUGGCGACCGGCGCAAGGGUGCGUAACGCGUGAGCAACUUGCCCGUUUCAGGGGGAUAACCGGUGGAAACGCCGACUAAUACCCCAUAGUAUUGAAUUUAGGCAUCUUUAUUCAAUUAAAGAAAUUCGGAAACGGAUAGGCUCGCGUGACAUUAGCUAGAUGGCGGGGUAACGGCCCACCAUGGCGACGAUGUCUAGGGGUUCUGAGAGGAAGGUCCCCCACACUGGAACUGAGACACGGUCCAGACUCCUACGGGAGGCAGCAGUGAGGAAUAUUGGUCAAUGGUCUGACGACUGAACCAGCCAUGCCGCGUGAAGGUGACGGCCCUAUGGGUCUUAAACUUCUUUUGUAAGGGAGCAAUAAGGGUCACGUGUGGCCUGAUGAGAGUACCUUACGAAUAAGCAUCGGCUAACUCCGUGCCAGCAGCCGCAGUAAAAC